AUUGAACGCUAGCGGGAUGCUUUACACAUGCAAGUCGAACGAGUGGCGGACGGGUGAGUAAUAUAUCGGAACGUGCCCCAUAGCGGGGGAUAACUACUCGAAAGCGUGGCUAAUACCGCAUACUAUGGGAGCUGCCCAUAUCGGAUUAGCUAGUUGGUGGGGUAAAGGCUCACCAAGGCCACGAUCCGUAGCUGGUUUGAGAGGACGACCAGCCACACUGGGACUGAGACACGGCCCAGACUCCUACGGGAGGCAGCAGUGGGGAAUUUUGGACAAGGGGGGAAACCCUGAUCCAGCCAUCCCGCGUGUAUGAGAAGGCCUUCGGGUUGUAAAGUACUUUUGGCAGAGAAGCGGUAUCUGCAGAAGAAGCACCGGCUAACUACGUGCCAGCAGCCGCGGUAAUAC
rnacentral:rRNA from 1 species